rnacentral:rRNA from 1 species
UUGUUUGACCUCGGAUCAGGUAGGGAUACCCGCUGAACUUAAGCAUAUCAAUAAGCGGAGGC